ACUCCUACGGGAGGCAGCAGUGGGGAAUAUUGGACAAUGGGCGAAAGCCUGAUCCAGCCAUGCCGCGUGUGUGAAGAAGGUCUUCGGAUUGUAAAGCACUUUAAGUUGGGAGGAAGGGCAGUAAGUUAAUACCUUGCUGUUUUGACGUUACCAACAGAAUAAGCACCGGCUAACUUCGUGCCAGCAGCCGCGGUAAUACGAAGGGGUGCAAGCGUUAAUCGGAAUUACUGGGGCGUAAAGCGCGCGUAGGUGGUUCAGCAAGUUGGAUGUGAAAUCCCCGGGGCUCGAACCUGGGAACUGCAUCCAAAACUACUGAGCUAGAGUACGGUAGAGGGUGGUGGGAAUUUCCUGUGUAGCGGUGAAAUGCGUAGAUAUAGGAAGGAACACC
rnacentral:rRNA from 1 species